rnacentral:rRNA from 1 species
AGCGAACGCUGGCGGCAGGCUUAACACAUGCAAGUCGAACGCCCGGGCAACCGGGAGUGGCAGACGGGUGAGUAACGCGUGGGAACGUGCCCUUUGGUUCGGAAUAACUCAGGGAAACUUGAGCUAAUACCGGAUACGCCCCGAGAGGGGGAAAGAUUUAUCGCCGAAGGAUCGGCCCGCGUCCGAUUAGCUAGUUGGUGAGGUAACGGCUCACCAAGGCGACGAUCGGUAGCUGGUCUGAGAGGAUGAGCAGCCACACUGGGACUGAGACACGGCCCAGACUCCUACGGGAGGCAGCAGUGGGGAAUAUUGGACAAUGGGGGCAACCCUGAUCCAGCCAUGCCGCGUGAGUGAUGAAGGCCUUAGGGUUGUAAAGCUCUUUCGGCGGGGACGAUAAUGACGGUACCCGCAGAAGAAGCCCCGGCUAACUUCGUGCCAGCCGCCGCGGUAA